rnacentral:rRNA from 1 species
UACGUAGGUGGCAAGCGUUGUCCGGAAUUAUUGGGCGUAAAGCGCGCGCAGGUGGUUCCUUAAGUCUGAUGUGAAAGCCCCCGGCUCAACCGGGGAGGGUCAUUGGAAACUGGGGAACUUGAGUGCAGAAGAGGAUAGUGGAAUUCCAAGUGUAGCGGUGAAAUGCGUAGAGAUUUGGAGGAACACCAGUGGCGAAGGCGACUGUCUGGUCUGUAACUGACGCUGAGGCGCGAAAGCGUGGGGAGCAAACAGG